AAUGUAAAAAGCUGUUUUUUGAUAUAAAUAUGAACUUGAUUGAACAAAACAUGCAUGUAUUGUAUAACAUAAUGUCCUAGGGUUGUCAUCUGAUGAAGAUCAUCAAAGGUUAGUGGUGCAUUUAGCUGUCUUCUGGGUUUUUGUGACAUUAUAUGCUAGCUUGAAAAAUGGGUGUCUGAUUAUUUCUGGCUUGGUACUCUGCUGACAUAAUCUAAUGUUUUGCUUUCGUUGUAAAGCCUUUUUGAAAUCGGACAGUGUGGUUAGAUUAACGAGAGUCUUGUCUUUAAAUAGCUGUAAAAGAGUCAUAUGUUUGAGAAAUUGAAGUAAUAGGAUUUUUAAUGUUUUGAAAAUCGCGCCACAGGCUUCAAGUGGCUGUUACGUAGGUGGGACGAAUUCGUCCCGCCUAGCCCAUAGAGGUUA
rnacentral:lncRNA from 1 species